rnacentral:rRNA from 1 species
GGAUGAACGGGUCGAUAUUCCCGUACCGGCUUUCAGCCGCCAAAACCGAGGCUUGGAGUACUAACCUCCGGGUCCGGGCUUACUGCUCCUUCGGGGGCGGGAUGCCCUGGCCUGUUGGGACCGAUCCUUGUAGUAGGUCAGCGCAGGAGUGACGCAGAAGGGUAGCCGGCCGCGGAGGUGGUCUUCCGUGGUCAAGCACGCAGGGCGUGGGACAGGCAAAUCCGUCCCGCAUGGGUCCGAGGUGCGAUGAUGGGGGCCUUAUGGCCCGAUAUCCGGUGAUCCCGGCUGCCGAGAAAAGCUUCGGCGUCAGGCUCAAAGCCGCCCGUACCCCAAACCGACACUGGUGGUCAGGUAGAGAAUACCAAAGCGAUCGAGCGAAUCCUGGUCAAGGAACUCGGCAAAUCACUCCCGUUCCUUCGGUUUAAGGGAGACCCCCGAUGGUGAACACACUUGCUGUGGGAGCUUUUGGGGGUGGCACAGACCAGGGGGUAGCGACUGUUUACCAAAAACACAGGUGCAUGCGAAGGCGCAAGCCGCUGUAUAUGCACUGACGCCUGCCCGGUGCCGGAAGGUUAAGAGGAUCCGUCAGCCUUCGGGUGAAGCGGUGAAUUCAAGCCCCGGUAAACGGCGGUGGUAACUAUAACCAUCCUAAGGUAGCGAAAUUCCUUGUCGGGUAAGUUCCGACCUGCACGAAUGGCGUAACGACUUCCCCACUGUCUCGACCAGGAGCUCGGCGAAAUUGCAGUACGAGUAAAGAUGCUCGUUAAGCGCAGAAGGACGAAAAGACCCCGGGACCUUUACUAUACCUUGGUAUUGGCAUUCGGUGUGGAUUGUGUAGCAUAGGCGGGAGGCCGAGAGGCGCGGUCGCCAGAUCGCGCGGAGCCGUAAGGUGAAAUACCGCUCUGUUCGCAUUGGAUGUCUAACCUCGAACAGUCAUCCUGUUCAGGGACAGUGCCUGGCGGGUAGUUUAACUGGGGCGGUUGCCUCCCAAAGAGUAACGGAGGCGCCCAAAGGUCCGCUCAGCCCGGUUGGCAAUCGGGUGGCGAGUGCAAGUGCACAAGCGGGCUUGACUGCGAGGACGACGGUCCGAGCAGGGACGAAAGUCGGGACUAGUGAUCCGGUGCCGGUGUACGGACGCGGCAUCGCUCAACGGAUAAAAGGUACCCCGGGGAUAACAGGCUGAUCAUUCCCAAGAGUCCAUAUCGACGGGAUGGUUUGGCACCUCGAUGUCGGCUCGUCGCAUCCUGGGGCUGGAGCAGGUCCCAAGGGUUCGGCUGUUCGCCGAUUAAAGCGGCACGCGAGCUGGGUUCAGAACGUCGUGAGACAGUUUGGUCUCUAUCCUCUGCGCUCGUUGGAAUGCUGAGGAGGCCUGCCCAUAGUACGAGAGGACCUGGGUGGACGAACCUCUGGUAUGCCGGUUGUCACGCCAGUGGCACGGCCGGUUGGCUACGUUCGGAAGGGAUAACCGCUGAAAGCAUCUAAGCGGGAAGCCUGCUCCAAGAUAAGCAUUCCGUGGAACCUUCGAGUUCCUGUAGUCCCCAUGCAGAACACGUGGUCGAUAGGCCGGACGUGGAAGCCCCGCGAGGGGUGGAGCCGACCGGUACUAACGGACGAAAGGCA